rnacentral:rRNA from 1 species
GUCUAUGGCCAUACCACACUGAAUAUGCCCGAUCUCAUCUGAUCUCAGAAACUAAGCAGGGUCUAGCCAAAAAGA